GAUGAACGCUGGCGGCGUGCCUAAUACAUGCAAGUCGAGCGAACAGACGAGGAUCUUGCUCCUCUGACGUUAGCGGCGGACGGGUGAGUGACACGUGGAUAACCUCCAUAUAAGACUGGGAUAACUUCGGGAAACCGGGGCUAAUACCGGAUAAUAUAUUUAACCGCAUGUUUCACUAUUGAAAAACGGUUUUGCUGUCACUCAUAGAUGUAUCCGCGCCGCAUUAGCUAGUUGGUAAGGUAACGGCUUACCAAGGCAACGAUGCGUAGCCGACCUGAGAGGGUGAUCGGCCACACUGGAACUGAGACACGGUCCAGACUCCUACGGGAGGCAGCAGUAGGGAAUCUUCCGCAAUGGGCGAAAGCCUGACGGAGCAAUGCCGCGUGAGUGAUGAAGGUCUUCGGAUCGUAAAACUCUGUUAUUAGGGAAGAACAAGUGUGUAAGUAACUAUGCACGUCUUGACGGUACCUAAUCAGAAAGCCACGGCUAACUACGUG
rnacentral:rRNA from 1 species